GUUCCUCCAGGCAAAGCGCCAGAGGAAGAGGAGCAGCAUGGAGAGAUGCCUCGGAGGCAGGGAUGCUGCUGCUCUGGUUGGGAUUAGCAUCUGUGUGGCGGUCUGCAGGAGGAUGGUUUGUGUCUCAGCUGCAGCACUUAUUGGAGAUGACGGGACAGAAGCUGCUGGGUCCCCGCUGACCUCCCCACCAGUGGCAGUGAUGUGCUGCAGCACAACAUGACCCAGGCAAAGGGUUUCACCAUGCUGUGAUGGAAGCUCUCUGCUCACUCUGCUCCACACAGGCUGACUUUUUGCACCACGCACCGCCAGCAGCAGCCCGCCUGCCCCAACACGACUUUGCAACUGUCCCUGCCUCUGCUGAAGUCUUCAGUAUACACUGAUGCACAACCUGCUAUAAGUAAGUCCUUGAAGCCCAAAUUUUCCAAAACGGAAACCAUUUC
rnacentral:lncRNA from 1 species